CGCCCGCUCAGAAACUCAAAGGAAUUGACGGGGGCCCGCACAAGCGGUGGAGCAUGUGGUUUAAUUCGAUGAUACGCGAGGAACCUUACCUGGGCUCAAAUGUAUGUUGACGUAUUCUGAAAGGGAUACUUCUUCGGACAAUAUACAAGGUGCUGCAUGGUUGUCGUCAGCUCGUGCCGUGAGGUGUCGGGUUAAGUCCCAUAACGAGCGCAACCCCUAUCAUUAGUUGCCAUCAGGUCAAGCUGGGGACUCUAAUGAAACUGCCUACGCAAGUAGUGAGGAAGGCGGGGAUGACGUCAAAUCAGCACGGCCCUUACGUCCAGGGCUACACACGUGCUACAAUGGCCGAUACAGAGGGCAGCUACCUGGUGACAGGAUGCAAAUCUCCAAAGUCGGUCUCAGUUCGGAUCGGAGUCUGCAACCCGACUCCGUGAAGUUGGAUUCGCUAGUAAUCGCGCAUCAGCCAUGGCGCGGUGAAUACGUUCCCGGGCCUU
rnacentral:rRNA from 1 species